AUCUAGGGUGACUAUUUGUUCUCACCACCCAGCUCAGGAGAGACCUUGGCCGCCGACCGGCCGUUUCAACCCCGAUCAACAUCGCCGGCGUCGUCUCAACCCCCUCAUUCCACCACUGUGUGCUGUUCCUGAUCCAGUAUAACCAUUAAAGGACUUCUGAGGUUUGGCUCUCAGAUCCUAUUUCGGUAUUUGCUUGAUUUGUGAUUUUGGGUUAUUUUGCUGCUAUAAGCACUUUGGAUUAGCGUUUCGGUUAGUUUUCUUUGUCUCAACAAAUGGCAGACAAUAAGAAUGUUAUUUCUGAUGUGAUUCCGGUGAUGACUAAGAUCACGGAACACAAACUUAAUGGUUCAAAUUACCUGGAGUGGAGUAAGACUGUUAGGGUCUAUUUGCGUAGCAUUGAUAAGGAUGAUCACCUUACUAAAGAUCCACCUACUGAUGAUACACAACAAACUUGGCUAAGGGAGGACGCUCGGUUGUUUUUGCAGCUUCGGAACUCGAUUCACAGUGAG
rnacentral:misc_RNA from 1 species